rnacentral:ncRNA from 1 species
CAUAGGCUUGGUCCUGGCCUUUUUAUUAGUUAUUAGUGAACUUACACAUGCAAGAAUCCUCGUCCCUGUGAAAAUGCCCUUUAACCAUUAUUUGGUCAUAGGAGCUGGUAUCAAGCACACUCUGAAGUAGCUCAUAACACCUUGCUCAGCCACACCCCCACGGGAAACAGCAGUGAUAAAAAUUAAGCAAUAAACGAAAAUUUGACUAAGUUACACUAGUAUUAGGGCUGGUAAAUUUCGUGCCAGCCACCGCGGUCAUACGAUUAGCCCAAACUAAUAAACAAUCGGCGUAAAGUGUGUUUUAGAGUAUAAUUAAAAAUAAAGCCAAAUUUUAACCAAGCUGUAAAAAGCCCUGGUCACUGUAAGAUGCACAACAAAAGUAGCUUUAAAACUUCUGACUACACGAUAGCUAAGACCCAAACUGGGAUUAGAUACCCCACUAUGCUUAGCCCUAAACAUAGAAAAUUAUAAACAAAAUUAUUCGCCAGAGUACUACCAGCAAAAGCUAGAAACUCAAAGGACUUGGCGGUGCCUUAUAUCCUUCUAGAGGAGCCUGUUCCAUAAUCGAUAAACCCCGAUAAACCCGACCAACCUUUGCUAAGUCAGCCUAUAUACCGCCAUCUUCAGCAAACCCUAAAAAGGAAGCACAGUAAGCACAAAUAUUAACAUAAAUACGUUAGGUCAAGGUGUAGCCUAUGGGUUGGAGAAAAAUGGGCUACAUUUCCCUAGCCAAGGACAUAUUACGAAAAUUUAUGUGAAACCAUUAAUCAAAGGUGGAUUUAGUAGUAAAUUAAGAAUAGAGCGCUUAAUUGAAUAAGGCCAUGAGGCACGCACACACCGCCCGUCACCCUCCUCAAGCAAUAAGUAUAAAACAAUUCCUAAGCACUAUAUAUAAUUUGCAAGAAGAGAUAAGUCGUAACAAGGUAAGUGUACUGGAAAGUGCACUUGGAUAAUA